rnacentral:lncRNA from 1 species
CCAAAAUGCGGAAACGUGCCAAGCGUAUCAAGGAUAUUUGUAAACUAGCGCGUCGUAACAGCUCAGCUAGCAUGUGUACACAAGUUCUUUUCUAGUCUUUGCUACAGAAUAUGUGAAUAUAAGGCACUUUAGCUAUUAUCUACAACAGUUUGGAACUACGACACGCUGAUAAGUACGUCCAUACAAGACGUCUGGAUAAUCAUAAGGAUCAUAAGAGGUAGACAUGUUGGCCUGUUGGCAGUCUGGAGGUCACCAAGAACAGUUUGGAGCUGCCCUCACCUGUGUGCCCCCAGUGUCACCUGCUGUCAUCAUGUGACAGCAAUGGUUAGUCACAGUCUCCUCAGUUUCACUGUUUUAAAAAAAAACAAGUCUUUCUGGAAACAAAAGACUUCUUCUCAGUUUUCUGUUGUUUAUAUUAUGAUGUCUUUUUUUGCAGCAGCAGCUGCUUCUCUGUCCCCGAGUGUCACAUUGGAAACCAGCAGUGCUGCUUUUUCUGAGCUGCCUUCACUCCACAGAGGGAUAAAGACCAAAAACAACACAAUAAGGAAGUGA